GACGGAGGAGGCAAGCGUUAUCCGGGAUUUUUGGGCGUAAAGGGUACGUAGGCGGCUGGUCAAGUCUGGGGUUAAAGGCCACAGCUCAACUGUGGGAAGGCCCUGGAAACUGACCGGCUAGAGUGAGGUAGGGGCUGCGGGAAUUCCCGGUGUAGCGGUGAAAUGCGUAGAGAUCGGGAAGAACACCUGAGGCGGAAGCGCGCAACUGGGCCUCAACUGACGCUGAGGUACGAAAGCUAGGGGAGCGAAUGGG
rnacentral:rRNA from 1 species